rnacentral:rRNA from 1 species
GAUGAACGCUGGCGGCGUGCUUAACACAUGCAAGUCGAACGGGAAAUAUUUCAUUGAGCCUUCGGUGGAUUUGAUUUAUUUCUAGUGGCGGACGGGUGAGUAACGCGUGGGUAACCUGCCUUAUACAGGGGGAUAACAGUCAGAAAUGGCUGCUAAUACCGCAUAAGCGCACAGAGCUGCAUGGCUCAGUGUGAAAAACUCCGGUGGUAUAAGAUGGACCCGCGUUGGAUUAGCUAGUUGGUGGGGUAACGGCCCACCAAGGCGACGAUCCAUAGCCGGCCUGAGAGGGUGAACGGCCACAUUGGGACUGAGACACGGCCCAGACUCCUACGGGAGGCAGCAGUGGGGAAUAUUGCACAAUGGGGGAAACCCUGAUGCAGCGACGCCGCGUGAAGGAAGAAGUAUCUCGGUAUGUAAACUUCUAUCAGCAGGGAAGAUAGUGACGGUACCUGACGAAGAAGCCCCGGCUAACUACGUG